GACGAACGCUGGCGGCGUGCCUAAUACAUGCAAGUCGAGCGGACUUUCCUGAGUGCUUGCCCUCCGUAAGGUUAGCGGCGGACGGGGGAGUAACACGUAGGCAACCUGCCCAUAAGACCGGGAUAACAUUCGGAAACGAAUGCUAAUACCGGAUAGACUGACCUCUCGCAUGAGGGGAUCGGGAAAGGCGGAGCAAUCUGCCGCGUAUGGAUGCGCCUGCGGCGCAUUAGCUGGUUGGUUGGGUAACGGCCUACCAAGGCGACGAUGCGUAGCCGACCUGAGAGGGUGAUCGGCCACACUGGGACUGAGACACGGCCCAGACUCCUACGGGAGGCAGCAGUAGGGAAUCUUCCGCAAUGGACGCAAGUCUGACGGAGCAACGCCGCGUGAGUGAGGAAGGCCUUCGGGUCGUAAAGCUCUGUUGCCAGGGAAGAACGGGUAGGGGAGUAACUGCCCUUGCCAUGACGGUACCUGAGAAGAAAGCCCCGGCUAACUACGUG
rnacentral:rRNA from 1 species